rnacentral:lncRNA from 10 species
CCGGCCUGCACGCAACAUGCCUUUUCAUCCGUUAUUGUCUCUACCCACAGUAUCCUUACUUCAUUCUCUACUCAGAACUUCCAAUGCUUCUUUCAAGACUCAGAACAAAAGAGGGAGAAUGUGUAGACCUCUACAGGCUUCUUUGGAUUCCCUUCCUCAGCUCCUUUCGCACUCUGUGUCACCUACCUUAUGUGUGUAUCACACUGGAUUGUAAAUGUUUGAAAUGUCCAUACCUUUUAGACCUAAAAAAAUUCUCAGUGCCAAUACUAAAUUGGCUACAUAAUUAGAAAAGAUUCAUUUUCUGAACUGAAUUACAGAAUUUGGCAGCCAUUUCAUGGUUAGCUCCCUAAAUGGCCACCCUCAAUUGGUGAAAACUUCCAAGGUAGAGACAGUACUCAAUCAAUAGAAUUCUCAUUGUUUCUUCUCUGUCCACAGCUCCCCACAGCCCUUAUAACACAAGGCAGACACUAAAUCACUGCAUAAAAGUGGAAAGAAUCAAAGGCUGAAUCUCCAUCCUGUUAUCUUCUCUACUCAAAGCUUCUGUGGACAUGCACGUGUGUCUUCUGGUUUUCCUGCCCCCUUGAUGAAGGACAAAUGGUGUUUCCAUUGCUCAUUGUGUUCAAGGAAGGAGGGCUUAGUUCUGCGAGUUUCUGGGGUUUAAUUUGAUGAAUUCAUCUGCUCAUUGCUUACUGAUUAGAAAUUUCUGUCACAUUGUAGGAUAGCAGAGAGUUCAAGAUUAUUGGGACUAUGAGCAUAUCAUUUUUGUUCCAUUUAAAUUGCUAUGAAAUGGAACAUUAAGCUUGGCAUAGAUCACGUUUCAAUAUCAUUCUUAGCUGUCUGAAACUUGCAUAAUUAACCAUCGUAAAAUUUGGUCAGCUAUAUAAUCAGUCAGCUGCAAAAGGACACCACGAGCAAGGGAGCAUCAUUGGAGCCAUGGCAUAUAUUGUAUGCUGUGGACAAAUACUACUUAACAUAAGAAAGCACACAUAUGUGCAGGACAAUCUUACUUCAUUGUCUCACAGGACAAACCCAACUGCUCUUCAAAACGGGUCAAGGAAAGCAAGAUGGAGGAGUGCCACAAGAUUAUACUUAUGGGAAGAGACUGGGCAUGUUCAGGGUGGUAUGGGUAUGGACAAGACUAUAUUUUUCAUGAGUUAGUGUUGAUGAUGCAUGUGCUGCCAAUCUUUCUCUCCCUCCUUGGGGCUCAGAUUCCAAAAGGUAUACAUGACCGAUUUUGAUAUUCAUGCUAGCUACUUUCUGGUAAAAUAUGGUGAGAAGCAGGGAGCCAGCUGGAAGUUUUCAUUGAUUUGGAAUUAUCUGUAGUAUCAAAAAGACAGAAUCCAGAUGUGCCUGUCAUUGUUUAAUUGGUCUUUCCUCUUUUGUUCUCCUUAUACCAUCCCCUGCCAUGAGUCUUAUCUCUAUUUCUGUUACAUGAGGGAGCAUCCUAGCUUCCAUGAUGUCCUUUCCUUUCCCUCCUUUCAGUAGGUUUGCAGCUUAGUUAGGGUCAAUCCCUGCUUCUGAUUUUCAUGUGACAUGGAAACUCUGAAUAAGAAGCCCUAGUAAAACUUGGCUCUUGUGAUAACUCACAACAUUACAUGUGUGUUAUGUCCUGCGGCCUGGAUACUUCUUGCUAUCUACUCUACAUAAAUGUGAAGCUUAGCAAGUAAAGCAACAGCAGCUUGUUAUUUCUCAGGAUUUUGUGGGUUUGCUGAGCUGAGCUGAGCAGAUCUUCUGCUCCACUUGGUGUCAGCUGGGAUUGCUCUUGCGUCCACCUUCAGCUGAAGGCCUGGUUGGGUCUGGCACUUUCAGAACAGCCUCUCUCACAUGCCUAGCCAUUGGUGUUGUGUAAGAGCUCACUCUUAACAGUUUCUACUUGCUUCCUUAGACAGUAGUGACAGGGGCCCAAGAGAGUAAAAGCAAAUGCUUUCAGUCCUGUUAAGGGCUAGACCUAAAACCUGCACCUGUCCAACAACUCACAAGUUCAACCCCUAUGUAAACGAAUGGAAAAUAAACAUAAUUCCUUGACAAAGGAGGAGCAUUCACACACAGAGGAGGGAGCAGUUGUUGGAGCCCAUCUUCAAAGACCACUGACCACACUCCGGUUCAGUUCAGACUUCUCACAAACACCCUUACAGGGUCCUGUGGACCACUAAUCCCAGGAUGCGAAUUAGAAAGGGAAGAGUGUUAGGGCUGGCUGUGUACGAAGCCUUCACAUGCUUCACACCCAAAAACUCAGGAUGAGGUUGAGCCCCUCUUCCUUGAGCUGCCACCCUGCCAGAUGUUGCUUCCAUUGCAACAUGAACAACACUAAUUGCAAAGAGUUUACUGGGAUAUUUUUUGAAAGAGGACCUAGUUUUCACUUUGAUUAAACUUCUUAUCCCAAACCACAGGUUUUCCCUUUAUCAAGAAGACCUGAAGCAAAGAGAGGGUGGUGAUCUGUCCAGGUAAGGAAGCUGCUCUUACCUUACAACUUUCGUGGUAUUGCUUGGCCCUUCUAGUCAUCAGAAACGCUCUUUGCUUAGGUUUCACCUUAACACCGUAGUCAAUCAACUGGAUGUUUUUGUUCAAAGUCUUCAUCCAGCUAACUUUGACCUCAAUAGAGAAACAUGGGAGAUGACUGGCUGAAUAGUUUAUUUUUCCCACAAAUGCUUUAGCAUUAUAUAGACAUGGAUGUAGUGUGUCCUCAGGCAUCAUAAGGAACUGACAAUUUUUGGUUUUGAAAAAUGAACUAAACUUGUCCCGAUAAUUUUGCCUGGCACUGCAACUCAAUGAAUAAUUCAGCUAAUUUACACCACAGUCAUUUGUACAUUAUGAGUGUACACGCUUUGAAAGUAUUUCUGUACCUUUGUCAUAUUGCCUAUUAAAUGUGUUCUGAAAAUAGAUACCAUGUGUGAAUGUAAGUCCUUGUUUAAAGAGUAUGUGAAUUGACACCGUGGGACCUCGUGAACAAUCUUUGCCACUUCUACAGAUUAUUUUUAUAUGGCGAUGGCUAGGAAACAGACUCUCCUUUUUAAAGGUUUUGAGAACAAACUUCUCUCAAGUUGAAUAUAUAUGUCUGGACAAGAAUAAGUUUCUUGGUUCUACAGUACUGUUAAACUUUGUACUUAUGUCUUUAUAAUCUAUCAACUGUUUAAAAUUUUUAGGGUUAGUUUAAUAAACAUCCUUGAAGUGUUCACACUAGUUAAGGAAUUCUGUCAGCUGCUCCCUCCUGGGGGUGAGAGUGAGUGGGAGAAGGUGGUGGCAGAGAAAGGAGAGGCAUUGCUGACUCCAGCCCGGAGCUCAGGGUCCUGUUGAUUACUUUCUAUUUCUCUGUCCCAGGGCGUCUGACACAGAGAAAGUGCAUAAGAUGCAGGAAUGAAUCACUGAGUGCCUGGGCUUUCUUAUCAGAACCUGUACAAUUGGCACAAGUACAGAACUAGUUUCUCCUUGGACAUGUUGCCUACUAUGUACACACAUGUCAAAUAUUUUGUUCAAAAUGUUUUUUCUUUUCCAUGCUGUCAUUUAGUAUUGAAAAUUAACAUCUGUGUCAUAUUGUAGGUGACAUGUAACAUUUUUGUUUUGCAUCUAUAUUUUCUACAUUAUAUGUGAUUAUUUUGCAAUAAAAAUGUGAUUGACAUAUUCACCAAAAUUAUCCUGACAUCAACUAGCAAACAUGCCUGCUGAUAUGUGGCCCCAAUCUGUGUCAUGUUCUCCGUAGCCAGUAUCUACAGCAAGGUUUUCAUAGAGAUUUUCUAAGUUGCUUUUUUAUAGGCUGCUAUUUUUUCUGACUUUGAUCUUUAUUUAUUGGUACAAAUUGUCCCUGACUUACCAUGGCUGGACUUACAAUUUUUCAACUUUACUAAGAGUUUAUUGGAAGGUAACGCCAUCGUAAGUCAGGGAGCAUAUGUACCACAAUUGGUUCAGCUUACUAUUAUUUGACUCUACAAUGGCUUCAUUGAAGUAUUGAAUGCAUCUUUAACACACUUCAUUUUCUUCUUAUGGUGGGUUUAUGGGAUGUAACCCAUUCAGAAGUUGAGGAGCAUCCAUAUAUCUAAGGUGUUCUUACUCAUGGGAAUAUGCUCGUCACUGUGCAGCCCCUUCAUAGAGUUCCAACAAACUAUCCACAAUGCAAUUUUAAUACUGUUUUCAGAAUUAUUUUGUAUAUCUGGACAUAAGUCAAUUUUCACAGAAAGAACAUUUAGAUUAUCAUAAAUUGGGCCUUUUCGUAUUUAAUUUCAUACAGAAAACAUAAUGCAUUGCAAUAAACUUGCAUCUUAAAAUCACAAAAGGCCAUAUUCUCAACCCCCUUUUCUCUUUUAUUUAGGUCAGAUUCCUAUCAGUGUGGCUUAUGUAAUAAAAUCUGUUGUUGCCACAGUCCUAUGUCACUCUUUCCAAUAACCUACAGCCCAUCAGUCUCUCUGAGAAGGCUGCCCUGUAGCAAAUCAUUAAAUCCUUUCAAGAACCAAGAAAACAUGGAAAAUAAAUGCAAAAGGAGAAGAUAGCUUAACUCAGGCUGGUGUUUGCAUGAUCAUGGAAACUCAUGUUAUGUUGUUUGGAAUUUUGAACAGGGAAGUUGGAGGAUGGAAACGUGCAAUCCUCUUAGAUGGUGAAACUAACUUGUAUCAGGAAUUUAUACCAGGUGCGGCAUUGAACUGAGCUGGAUUUCCAUACAACAACCUGGGAAGUGAGCCUGCCAAGAGGAUGAACACCUAGAUAAUGGACCUACAGUUCACUCAGACUCAAAAUAAGGAUUUAGGCGAGUGUUGUGUUGCUACUAUUUGUUUUCAGUUACUCCCACAAAUGGACAGGUAACCACUCAGCUAGAGAUCCUAGGGUGGCUGAGAAGGACGAGGAAGGCACAAAAAUCCCUGUGGGGAUGGCCAAAAGAGUUUUCCCAUGGGCUCUUACACUGAGAACUUUACUCCUUUAUAGUCUGAACAGCAGACAGCUCAGAGGUCAAAGGAAACUGCCCCUUCUGUGGAAAGGACUCCAUGCAUGUGUCUUUGUGCCUCUUCCUGGUCCUUCAUCUCUGUCUGUGGGUACCUUUCUUUCCAUCACAAUCAUCCUCUGGAUCACAUACUACACAGGACUCAUAAGGGUGCAGAGGGUCAGGGAUGCUGGAAAUGUCACCCAACAGCAAGGUGAUAGAGUUCCGGACAGAAUUUGAAUGGUACUUUCUAUGGCUCAUGUCUCUCGGUUUUCUGCAGUCCUUGCUGAGUUUCUUAAUCCAGUGUCUGGAGACCUCCAAGGUCAAAUGCAUGCACAUUUAAAUUUAAAUUCUAGGUGUAAAUAAAGGUAAUUUCUAGAUUUGCUUCCAUCUUGAUUUUCCAUGUCAUAGUUCUAUUCAAUUAGCAUAAGUAACUCAGAGGUGACAGUCAUGUAGAGAAUGUACUGAUGGGUGAUUUUGAUUUUUGUUAUUUUCCUACAGUGUUAAAGACCUGGAAGCUUUUUAAUAAUAGUAAAAAGUGCGCAACCAAAAAUUAUUGUGUUUUUUUUUUUUGAGAAAUGAUGCCAUUAUUUCACAUGAAUGCUCUACUUAAAAAUAGAGGUAGAGAAUCCAGGGAAAAAAAGACCCAGGAAGGUAACCUUUAAUUUGAAAUUGGAUGCAUUGUGAUACUUGUG